UCCCUGGUGGCUCAGAUGGUAAAGCGUCUGCCUACAAUGCAGGAGACCCAGAUUCAAUCCCUGGGUUGGGAA
rnacentral:tRNA from 1 species